CAUGCGCUGAAGCCACAGAGAAAAACAGUUUUCCUAGUUGUCUGCGCGAGAGAACCUCCACGAGAUCAACAUGCCCAAGAGAAAGGGAGCAGAAGCCGGAGAAAAGGGGGAGCCGCAGCGGAGAUCGGCUCGGUUAUCAGCGAAGCCUAAUCCAGCUAAGGCGGAACCAAAGGUCAAGAAGGUGGCAAAGAAAGAAAAGGCUGUGAACGACAAGAAGGAGGACAAGAAGACUAAGAAGGCGAAGGAGAACGUCGAGGCCGAGGCGAACGAGGAAAACCACUCUGAGAACGGAGAGGCCAAGACCAACGAGGUGGAGGCAGCCCCCGCCCCAAGUCUCUCACAUGGUUUCCCUCCAAGGCGUAUUGUUAACAGAGGAAUAUUUUUAUCAAUGAUUUUAUAAGUAUCCGUACAGAUUUUUAGCACAAAAAGCAAAGCUGAUUAUGGAGCGCCUUGCAGAUUUGCAGUGGUCAUAUCAAGUGUCUGCAAGCAAGAUGAACACACUAAAAUCUUUUUUAA
rnacentral:lncRNA from 1 species